UUUUUUGUCUCUGAUUUUUCUGGACUAUCUUCUCUUGUUCUGCUUGGUCAUGGCUUUAAUAUUCUAACACUUGAGCUAAAACUUGCAUAACUUUCUUUUGCUUCUAAAGGAAUUCCUGACUCUGCAAAAAGCCUUCAGCAAGCGAGCAUUUUGCUUUCCCGAAAGUAAAAAGUAAAAGUAAAUUAGCCCUCGGUGCGACCGCAAAUGAACAAAAAUUAAAAUCUUUGCAGACGUACUGCGUGUGCUCAAACAAAUGUUUCGUACUUCUUAUCCACUUUGUGUCCUUGGCCUGCUGCAUAUUUUUAUACUUCCUGUCCUUCAGUGGUUGCCACUAUUAUAGCACCAAUUAUGAUGGGUUUUCUUUCUCGAAGAUGCUUUAUUGUUUGCCUCUGUGUCCCAAAGGUGGGAUAGAAAGAGAUGCUGAGGGGAGAGCUGGGAGGCUUUCAGCCGCAUGCACAGUGGAAGCUGGAUGAUUGUUUCCGCCUGCAUACGCUUGGUCACUGCGCUGUGGAGAGUCUCAUUAGUAUGGAUGUCGGCGCCUCUCCUUCAGCUGAACCUGCCAUACCACUGUAGUAGUAAAGCUGCCUGCCUGCCGCAUUGUCCCUGUACAGAUGAUUUGAGCUCCUCUUCGUCCAACCUCAUCAUUACAUCACAGGAGAUGUUUGCUAUGCAUGUGCAGCAGGACAUGCUCUCCUACUGGCGUAAUGUACUCCCAGAUGACUUAGACCGUCAGCUGAUCCAGAAAGUCUCUGAAACAGAACUUUUCCCUUGUAUUUAAAUACAAUUAAAAAGUUACAAAU